rnacentral:rRNA from 1 species
AUUGAACGCUGGCGGCAUGCUUUAUACAUGCAAGUCGUGCGGCAGCGCGGGGGCAACUCUGGCGGCGAGCGGCGAACGGGUGAGUAAUACAUAGGAACGUAUCCUGAAAUGGGGGAUAGCUCGGCGAAAGCCGGAUUAAUACCGCAUACGCUCCACGGAGGAAAGCAGGGGAUCGCAAGACCUUGCGUUUCUGGAGCGGCCUAUGUCUGAUUAGCUAGNGGCGGGGUAAUAGCCCACCAAGGCGACGAUCAGUAGCUGGUCUGAGAGGAUGAUCAGCCACACUGGGACUGAGACACGGCCCAGACUCCUACGGGAGGCAGCAGUAGGGAAUUUUGGACAAUGGGGCAACCCUGAUCCAGCCAUGCCGCGUGAGUGAAGAAGGCCUGGUUGU